CAAUGUGAUAGUGUGUAAGACCCUCAAGUGAUGAUAUAUUAUAGUAGGAAUCUCAUUGACCAUUCUAACAUGAAAAUACUUAUUUUACUGAUAUAUUUUACUAUUAGUAUUUUAUUAAAUAUUUUCUGAUUACAAUAUUCUAAGAAUUUCUUUUAUUUUUUACAGUUAUCAAAUGAUGUCCAUCUUAUUAAACUUCAUAAGGUUCAAUGAUGCUGCAUGCAAAUACAAUUUGUACUACACUUUCAUAAAUUUAUAUCACAAUACAAAAUAAAGCAAUAGCAAUAUUACAAUACAAAAAUUACCAAACAAUAAAGAUAUCAAUCAAAAUUAUUUUAUGA